UACGGAGGAUCCAAGCGUUAUCCGGAUUUAUUGGGUUUAAAGGGUGCGUAGGUGGUUUUGUAAGUCAGUGGUGAAAGCCCAUCGCUCAACGAUGGAACUGCCAUUGAUACUGUAAGGCUUGAGUACAGACGAGGUAGGCGGAAUUGAUGGUGUAGCGGUGAAAUGCAUAGAUACCAUCAAGAACACCGAUUGCGUAGGCAGCUUACUAGGCUGUAACUGACGCUGAGGCACGAAAGCGUGGGGAGCGAGCAGG
rnacentral:rRNA from 1 species